rnacentral:lncRNA from 1 species
AAGAUUUUUAUCUUUAUCUUAGGUGAAAAAUUCAUCAGACUAAGAUUUUCAUCUUAGGAGAAAGAUUCAACAGACUAAGAUUGUGACUCUAGGAGAUAAUUCAUCAGACUAGGUCCAUUUUUGUGUGAUCUCAGGAGGAAGAUUCAUCAGACUGAUAUUUUGACUCUAGGAGAUAAUUCAUCAGACUAGGUCCAUUUUUGUGUGAUCCCGACUUUCUUAAUUUUCCAAAUUCCAACUUCCAUUCUUUUCAAAUUCUGCCUUCCUUUCUUGUUCCCAAAUUAUGCCUUCCUUUCUUUUCUUUUUUUUUUCGACUUCUGCCUUCCCCUUCUUUAAAUUAUGCCUUCCUUUCGUUUUUCCAACUUUUGCCUUUAUCUUAGGUGAAAUAUUAAUCAGACUAAGAUUUUUAUCUUAGGUGAAAGAUUCAACAGACUAAGAUUUCUUUAUCUUAGGUGAAAGAUUCAACAGACUAAGAUUUCUUUAUCUUAGGUGAAAAAUUCAACAGACUAAGAUUUCUUUUAACCAUUUUCCUUCAAAAUUUGUUUUAUCUACCCACUAACUUGAAUUAUCUUCCUUCAGAAUU